CCGCUGCCACUACUGUUGUUUUCUCGGAGCAUCUUCAAGACGAGAUCCUUCAUCUCUCUUCUCGUCUUCUCAUCUCUGCCUUCCAGAACCACCUGUCUGAGCAAAAUCUCAUUUCCACCCCCAUUGAUGGCAGAAGACGUUGGCACCAAUGAAGCGACGGGUUCCGAGUUUGGCGUAUUGGGAAUGAGGCGUCUGAGAACUUCACGACUCCAGAACUCUCUAGAUGAAGUUGAGAAAGCAAAGAAGCCACCUUUUCCUCCUCAUCUUUGGAGCUAGCAUAUAGCAUCGGUACAAUCCUCUUCCUGCAUCUGAGCUAGUAGCAUCGGUAUAGGUUGGAGUUUUUCUUCCCAAAACUAUCCGUUAUGUUUUUAAUCAAUAAAAAUUUAAAUUAAAAAAAUAUAGGUGAUUAUUUUUAACUCCAAAGCAACCUUAAGUAGGUACAUUUGACAAUUUUCUUAUAUUUUGAUUCAAAAACUAGCUACUACUGACCUACUAGCACGUCUAUGUCAGUAUGUAUUUUCUUUUUCAUUUUUUUUUCCUUACAGGUAACAUGCAACCAGUUAUUAACAAGAAAAAUCGACGGUCUAAGUUGUUAUUUAAAACGAAUCGACGUGAUGGAAGAAAAUUCACCUUUUUUAUCUGAUGUAGACCUUAUAUAUUUAGUCAGCGUGUUUCAUCUUUGUUCACAUGUCAAUAAAUGUCAUACUGAUUUUCGUUCAUAACUCUUAUGUAAUGUCUGUUUAGUGUCGACAUGUUAGGUCGCAUAUGACCCAAAUGAUUGUUGCAUUUUCAAAACUGAUUGUGAUUCUCUUAGUGCUCGGCAUUGGAUACAGAUCAUGGGAAUCAUAACUACAAAUCAAAGAUUCGUGACGUCUAUAUAAGAGAAGAGACAAAUGCUCGAUUUUUAUUAUUUUUCCAGGAC
rnacentral:lncRNA from 1 species